UCGUUAUUGGAUAACGACUAUCACGUGUCAUGUUCUCAUUGGAUGUCAAUUCCAUAAAAGAUGAAAUAUAUUUUUGUUUUCAUUGACCAAUCAAAAUGACAUGUGACAAUCGUCAUUCAAUGAGAACGUGACACGUGACAGUCAAUAUCA
rfam:Glycine soja cultivar W05 scaffold2013_33, whole genome shotgun sequence.